rnacentral:rRNA from 1 species
UACAGGGGGGGCAAGCGUUGUUCGGAAUUACUGGGCGUAAAGGGCCAGUAGGCGGCCAACUAAGUCACACGUGAAAUCCCCAGGCUUAACCUGGGAACUGCGUGUGAUACUGGAUGGCUUGAAUUCGGGAGAGGGAUGCAGAAUUCCAGGUGUAGCGGUGAAAUGCGUAGAUAUCUGGAGGAAUACCGGUGGCGAAGGCGGCAUCCUGGACCAUGACUGACGCUGAGGAGCGAAAGCCAGGGGAGCAAACGGG